GGAUGGUCAGCCACACUGGGACUGAGAUACGGCCCAGACUCCUACGGGAGGCAGCAGUCGAGAGGCUUCGGCAAUGGGGGAAACCCUGACCGAGCGACGCCGCGUGGGCGAUGAAGGCCGUUAGGUUGUAAAGCCCUUUUUUUGUGGGAAGAAAUGCCGGCAGGUGAACAAUCUGCAGGUUUGACGGUACCGCAAGAAUAAGCUCCGGCCAACUCCGUGCCAGCAGCCGCGGUAAUACGGGGGGAGCGAACGUUGUUCGGAAUCACUGGGCGUAAAGGGCGUGCAGGCGGCCUCGCAAGUGGGAUGUGAAAUGCCCUGGCUCAACCAGGGAACUGCAUCUCAAACUACGAGGCUUGAGUACAGGAGAGGAUGGGGGAAUUCCCGGUGUAGCGGUGAAAUGCAUUGAUAUCGGGAGGAACACCAGUGGCGAAGGCGCCCAUCUGGCCUGAUACUGACGCUCAGGCGCGAAAGCUAGGGGAGCAAACAGGAUUAGAUACCCUGGUAGUCCUAGCCGUAAACGGUGAGCACUAGGUGUAGGAGGCAUCGACCCCUCCUGUGCCGCAGCUAACGCAUUAAGUGCUCCGCCUGGGGAGUACGACCGCAAGGUUGAAACUCAAAGGAAUUGACGGGGGCCCGCACAAGCGGUGGAGCAUGUGGUUUAAUUCGAUGCAACGCGAAGAACCUUACCCAGAUUUGACAUGCAUUGGACCGGUGUGGAAACACACCUUCCCUUCGGGGCCGAUGCACAGGUGCUGCAUGGCUGUCGUCAGCUCGUGUCGUGAGAUGUUGGGUUAAGUCCCGCAACGAGCGCAACCCUUGUCCUUAGUUGCCAGCAAGUCAAGUUGGGCACUCUAAGGAGACUGCCGCCGAUAAGGCGGAGGAAGGUGGGGAUGACGUCAAGUCCUCAUGGUCCUUACGUCUGGGGCUACACACGUGCUACAAUGGUCGGUACAAAGGGUUGCAAUGCCGCGAGGUGGAGCCAAUCCCAUAAAGCCGGCCUCAGUUCGGAUUGCAGUCUGCAACUCGACUGCAUGAAGGCGGAAUCGCUAGUAAUCGCUGAUCAGCAGGCAGCGGUGAAUAUGUUCCCGGGCCUUGUACACACCGCCCGUCAAGCCACGAAAGUUGGCAGUACCCGACGUCGCUAUCCUAACCGCAAGGAGGGAGGCGCCUAAGGUAAGGCCACUGAUUGGGGCUAAGUCGUAACAGGGUA
rnacentral:rRNA from 1 species